rnacentral:rRNA from 1 species
UUCCGGUUGAUCCUGCCGGACCCUACUGCUAUCGGGGGAGGACUAAAACAUGCAAGUCGUGCGCCUCCAAGCCAUGGUGGAGACGCGGCAUCCGGCUCAGUAACACGUGGCUAACCCUCCCUUGAGACGGAGAAAACCCCGGGAAACUGGGGUUAAUCUCCGAUAAGAGAAGACACCUGGAAUGGGUCUUCUCUCAAAAGGCGCCUAUACCAUGCUUUUAGGCGCUGCUCAAGGACGGGGCCGCGGCCGAUCAGGUUGUUGGUGAGGCAACGGCUCACCAAGCCUAUAACCGGUACGGGCCGUGAGAGCGGGAGCCCGGAGAUGGGCACUGAGACAAGGGCCCAGGCCCUACGGGGCGCAGCAGUUGCGAAAACUCCGCAAUGCACGAAAGUGUGACGGGGCUACCCCGAGUGCCGUCCGCUGAGGGCGGCUUUUCCCCGGUGUAAGGAGCCGGGGGAAUAAGGAGAGGGCAAGUCUGGUGUCAGCCGCCGCGGUAAUACCAGCUCUCCGAGUGGUAGGGAUGAUUAUUGGGCUUAAAGCGUCCGUAGCCGGCCCGGCAAGUCUUCCGUUAAAUCCAACGAUUCAAUCGUUGGACUGCAGGAGAUACUGUUGGGCUAGGGGGCGGGAGAGGCCGACGGUAUUCUAGGGGUAGGGGUAAAAUCCUAUAAUCCCUGGAAGACCACCAGUGGCGAAGGCGGUCGGCUAGAACGCGCUCGACGGUGAGGGACGAAAGCUGAGGGAGCGAACCGGAUUAGAUACCCGGGUAGUCCCAGCUGUAAACGAUGCGGGCUAGGUGUUGGGGCGGCUACGGGCCGCUUCAGUGCCGCAGGGAAACCAUUAAGCCCGCCGCCUGGGGAGUACGGCCGCAAGGCUGAAACUUAAAGGAAUUGGCGGGGG